GGCAUCUGUGAAGGUGCUGCAUGGUUGUCGUCAGCUCGUGCCGUGAGGUGUCGGCUUAAGUGCCAUAACGAGCGCAACCCUUGUUGUCAGUUACUAACAGGUUCCGCUGAGGACUCUGACAAGACUGCCAUCGUAAGAUGUGAGGAAGGUGGGGAUGACGUCAAAUCAGCACGGCCCUUACGUCCGGGGCUACACACGUGUUACAAUGGGGGGUACAGAGGGCCGCUACCACGCGAGUGGAUGCCAAUCCCAAAAACCUCUCUCAGUUCGGACUGGAGUCUGCAACCCGACUCCACGAAGCUGGAUUCGCUAGUAAUCGCGCAUCAGCCACGGCGCGGUGAAUACGUUCCCGGGCCUUGUACACACCGCCCGUCAAGCCAUGGGAGCCGGGGGUACCUGAAGUGCGUAACCGCGAGGAGCGCCCUAGGGUAAAACUGGUGACUGGGGCUAAGUCGUAACAAGGUAGCCGUACCGGAAGGUGCGGCUGGAUCACCUC
rnacentral:rRNA from 1 species